UUUUUUCCCUUUUAAAUGACAAAUCUAUAGUUAUCAUAAGCUUUUCUGGACUGGUAUUUGGUUCAAGUUAUUUUGGUUUUGCAGAGAGUACCUGGGUCCUACCAGCAGUAGGAUUGGGAGCAGGGAAUCCCCAACGCUUGGGUUAGACAGAGUGAGGAGACUUUAACUCUUCCUCCCAAAUGUCCCAGGUAGUUGCUAUAUAAUUGAGCCUUAAAUAAUCAGGAUGCAUGGGUUGGAGGAGAGGAUGGAAGGAAAAAGAAAAUAGGAAGAGAGGGGAAAAAAAUGCAAAGGAGAUGUAGGCAAGGUGUUCAAGGAUACUCAAAGCCCUUAAUUGGUGGCUGUGUUACACAAGUCCAACAACACCCCCUUAUUCGCAUACUGCUGCAGCUUUUCAUCCCUCAUGUACUAUAAGGCAGCUCAUUGUAAUUGCCUUUCAGUUCAGAUGGCUGUACUCUGAUAUACAACCUAUGUAAUCCUGUUUGACGGAUAAAAUUUUAAGUGUACAGAGUCAUAGUAGUUGUGAGGUGGCCUCCUUACCUUUAUUGUUAUAUUAAGCCAUUAUAAUUCAGCACAUGACAGCAAUGUUCUGCAUUAUAGCUCCUGAUACAACUGUAUGUUUGUUUUUUUUCUAACACACCACAAAAUGUAAGACGUAACACUGCUGUGUUACUCUGUUUGUGUUACAUUUCAAAUAGAAGGAGCAAUUGAUCUUCACAGUGAUCUAUGUUAUUAUGCAGCUAAGGCUGCACUGGAAUUCUAACUCCAGCUUGAAGGGCUACUUAAUAGUUGAAACUGAACAGUAUUUUGAGAUGAGAGACCCUGGAUUGGUUAGCCUGGAGAAGACCAAGAGGGGAUCUUUGCUAUCAUUAACACAAGAAUGCUUUUUGAUAGGAUCACAUGAAGCUGUGGUGGCAUUGCGAUAACAGACUUAAGCGAUUUUGUUUCUGUGUGAAAGUAUAAUCUACAAUAUGAAAGGUUACACAGCAGAGUUUCUCAACCAAGUCUCAACUAGUUAAAAGAUCUGUGAUUAGUAGAUUUUUUUUAUUAUUAUUAUUUUUUAUUAUUUUUUAUUAGGUACAAGCAAAGUAAGGUGAUCAGCUGAAGAUAAAGCAGCACAGCAACAUUUCUACUUGGGCUAUGAUCAGCCUUGAAGAACGAGGGUACAGCUAUCAGGUGUCUGUGCAGACUUACAUCAAAGGAAACUGUCUUUCAUUCUCUGCAGUUUUUGAGGAUGAUGCUCCAUGAAGAACUCUAGAAGGAAGAUAGAUAUAAUGUGGACACCUUUCAAUUACAGUGAUUUCAGUAAUUAUUAAAUGAUUAAGUUGCACUGAGUACCCUGAAGGUCGGCAGCCAGUCUACAGUUCCCAGAAGGUCAGUCAUAAGGAUCAAAUCUGAAGUUUGAUCUUCACUAAGUUAUUAUUAACCUUUGCUGUCUUCAAGAUGGAUAAUGGUACUUCAGAACUCAUUGGCAUUGGCUUAACUUCAGGUGAACAGAAAGGCUGGGUCACAAUUGUAAGUUGUCUUCAUUCAUCUUCAGUUUUAUUAUUUUGUUUGUUAUCUAAUUUGUUUCAAUUGCAAACGUUUCUAACAAUCAGAGAGGUACCAACCAUUAAAUAUUUUUAUUGUGUUGGAUUAAAACUGGCAAAUGCUAGAAAUGAGCCAGUUUGUCCUCAUUUGGCAUUGACGUGCUGUGUUUUAAAAGCGUUGUGCCCAAUGGCUGCAUAAAACACAAUGUCAAGUACGCUUUCAGUAAAAGUUUCACCUGUUCAAAUAUGUUCUUAUUUUUUACCACAAUUCAUUUUAUUUAUAGUUUCACUAAACAAAACAGAACAAAAGAAGAAAAAAAAAAAAGUAAAACACUUGUCCAUAGAAAAUGUUCUAGCAUAUACUGCUAGAAAUCAGGAACCCUAAUUGCUUAGUUUAAGAUUCUCUUUUAAGGUUACCAUUGAGAUCAUGUUACUUCAACUUGGUUUCUAAGGAAACCAAAGUCUACAUGCUGAUAAUCAUAAGACACCAGCAGGAAAAAAAAAAAAGAAAAAAAAAAAAAAAAAACAAAAAAAAAAAAAAAAACCAACCAAAAAGCCCCUACAACAGACAAACCAACCCAACAGUAUUUCUUUUUAGUUGUCUUAUAAAGAGAGCACUUUCAAAAUAAUAUUUUAUUAUAGCUGAAUUAAAAAUACAUAAGGUCAUUCUUUCCACAUUUUGCCAUACAAAAAUUGAACACAAACUAUAUAAAAAAAGUAUAUAAUCUCCACAGAUUUAUUCCUUUACACAAUUAUUUUCAGUAGCUAAUCUUUUUACAUUGGGAACAGAUUAAUUAGCUGGAAAACAAUUCAUAAAGGACCAAACAUUUUGUUUGUGUACCAGAUAUAACCUGAAUCUGUUAAUCUUUGAAAAUUUCCUGUACUUGCUUAUACAAAAUGAUUCAGUGUGCAAAUUGAUAUUCACAAAUUAAUAUAUGCAUUAAUUUGUUGUCGGGUUUUUUUUGUGGUUUUUUUUUUCCCUUUAUACAGACAUCUAAAAGUUAGAUUUAUUAUAGUAUUGAGUAGUAUUGCAAUGUGUUUUAUUUCGUCUUGGAUUCAAGACUGCAACAUACUUUAAAGUACAUUUCCAUUGUAUACUGAUUCCAAACAAUUGACAUCCUGAUGAUGAGUUGUGGGAGGAGGGUUCUACCCCAGAGUAUUGAUUUGGUCAAGGAACAAAAGACAAAGUCAUUUUUAAGGGCAUUUACUGGUAUUUUUCCCAAGGGAAAUAAAAUGAAAAUUUGUAGUUAGAAGAUCUUAACUGGGUCUUGCUUUUUUGCUCGUUAGUUUGUUUUUGUUUUUCCAUUUCUAAAGGAAUAGAAAACAGAGAGAAGUUUAAAAAAAAAUAAUAAUAAUAGAAGUUUUCUCCUUGAAAUUUGGUUUAUUUUUAUACUGCCAAAACAAACUUUUCAUUAAAAGAUGAGAAUAUCAUUUUCUUCAACCAGCUAUGUUUGGAUUUAAGGUUGAAACUUCAGUUUUAUCAAGGAGGAAUUUUUUUGUAAGGAGGAGAAAACAUUGCAACUGACUAUAAUAUAUAAUAUAUGCAGGAUAUAUAUAGGUACACAUGCAGGAAUACAGAGCCAGCAUCUCCACUGGUGUAAGACAUCUGAGUGUCUCUGAAGUCACUGCUUGCCUAGCUAACAUCAGCUGUGAAUCUCACCUAAGAAUUUCUUGCUUAACUGAUAUUCACCUCUCUGUGGUUGCAAGAGCACAUUUCUGAACUACAUAAUUCUGAUACAAAAGGCAUAAGUAUAGCAGAAUAGGGAAGUUUACAGCUGACCACCUGUGCACCGAAUGCAUCAGUGACAAGAAAUGGAGGUAUGUCUGUAAUAUUACUCAAUAGUACAUUCUUUUAAAACUGCUGAAGGAAAAGUCAAGCUUGUCUUUGAGAAAGCUGCUAAAAUUCUUUUCAGGUCUUCAGAAACAUUUUAUUUUUCAAUGUAUUUCUUUAGGGCUACUUAACACUGAGACCACAUAAAAUUCUAAUAGCUUGUUCAAGACUCAUGUGCUCUUUCAGGGUAGAGCCUUCGACAUACCAGUCACUGGCCAACGUGAUACUUCUCUCUGAGUGAGUAGUUCCACAUCUGUGUUUUCUAGGUGGUACUCAUUUUAUUUCUAAAGCUGUUAACAAAUACGUAUACAAAAGAUGCUUCUACAGCGCAGUAAUAUUAAGUGCAUUAUUUUAAGGCAAGCACAUCAAAUUCAACUAUGCUGACAACUCUGAACUUUGAGGUUAGUAAUAAGAUUCCUCACUGAUGUUUAUUGGUACCCAAAUUUGUAAAGCUGUACCUAAACGUGUCUUAGUAUGUAACUGCACAGUUCUAUAUAGCAGCUUUUCAGAAUUAUACAGUACAAGGCUAUUUAGCAGUACUACACAAGAAAUGUAGUGAACAGCAUUUCAGAACCUAACUUGAUUCAUUUUAAUUUGUAGUUACACUGGAGAAUAUUCCCUUUUGCCAAGUGCAACUUGCACUUCUAUAUUUCACUUUCUUUGAUAUCUUUUGGGCAGUUGUUUUUAAAACUUCCAUAAAGUAUAUCACUUUUUCUUAAGGAUUGCAUAAUUUAAAGAUGAUGGAGGGUCUCAUUUGACAGGGAGAAGCUACUUCUGUUUUCCAGUGCUUUCUCCAGAUUAUUUCAAGUGAUGAAAUUUUGUAAUUUGUCUUAGAGAGUUUUCACCAUGAUAUAGAUAAAUGUUUAAUGAAGUGGAAAAAGAAUGCUUAUGAAGUUACAUAACUUCAGGUGGAUGGAGAUGAACUGAGUGUAUAUAAAAUUUGGAUAGCUCUCCCACUAAACUACCUGAAAAUACAUUUAUCAAUGUCAGUAUUUUUAUGUUGAUCUUCAUAAAGCACAACACUUCUAUUAAAGGUUUGAUUCUACAGAAGAAAGUAACUGUGGUUAGGGAGGUCUUUGCUACAACAUUCAGAGCUGCAUAUACUUCUGCCACACAUUGCUCUGAAUGAUAUAAGAUGUAAUUAUGGGAAUGAUGGACCUCGGUGUUAAGCCCAUUUAUUUGUUCUGCUUUUGUGUGGAAAGGCAAACUGAAGUCCAAGCUGGCCUGGUUGAGGACUUCUGAAUCCUGUUUUGUCAUUUUGUUCUCUCAUUUUUCGAAUUCGAAACAUCACUCUCUCUCCUUGCAAGGUACCCAAGAUCGGUAGCCAUCCUUCCUGUAUGAAUGGUGACGGGCUUUCUCCAGGCAGGUGAGAAUGUUGUUCCAUAGGACCAUCCAGUCAAGGAGAAAACAUGAAGGGGCUUUCCACCGUUCUCUUCUAAGACAAGCUUAGCAAGUAACUACAACAGAAUUCAAGUUGGGUCAAUUUAAGAAUUCAGCAGAGAGGCUUCUACCAUACCUAGCAGAUCGGAACUUGAGCUCAUGGUAACACUGCACAAAGCUAUGAUAAAUGAAAGUGAUUGGCAAGGCUAGUAAAACAAUGCCACUAACCACGCAGAUUCCUCCAAGAAUCCUUCCCGGUACCGUGAUGGGACACAUGUCACCGUAACCAACUGUGGUCAUAGAGAUGAUCACCCACCAACAAGCAGCAGGGAUGCUGGCAUAAUCCUUAUUCUUUGUUCCCAAGUCCAGCCCAUUUUCAAGCAGCUGGGAAAGUGCACUGAAAAUUGCCAUAGCAACACAGAUAAAGACAAGGAGCAUCACCAUCUCUCUGUAACAGCGCUUCAGAGUCAGACCAAGUGUUUGAAGGCCAAUGAAAUGACGAGCCAGUUUAAUCACCCAAAAAAUCCUCAUCAUUCUUAAGACCCUCAAGGUGACUCCAGCCCUCUGGAGCUGCGAAUUUUCCCCUGUAAAAACUGUCAUUAGAACAGAGAUGUAGUAAGGAGUAAUUGCCAGUAAAUCAAUAAUGUUGAGAGGUCUUCUGACAAACUCACACUUGUUCUUUGAAACGAUGAACCUCACAAUGCACUCUGCAGUGAACCAGCCUAUGCAGAUAGCUUCAAUUAUCCUGUCAAAAGAAAAAAAAGGUACAGCAUUUAUGUUCAGUGGAAGGGCUUUAGUGGAGGUUUGAUGUUUGGUUUUUUUUUUUUCCACAGACAUUACCAAAAUUGACAUUCAGACCUUCACAAACAACAAACAGAAAGCCACACUAUUCUUUAUUCUGAGCAUGAAGCACCAGAUUUCAGCAAAUAACAUUAGGAUCUAAUGAGGUGUUUGAACUGAUCUGUGCUAAGAACUUGUUCGCUGAUCAUUUCCUGUGGAUUACAUAUGCCUAUCCUAAUACUGGAGAAAUAUGCCUACAAAAUCUGGGACCAUAGAGAAAAUGCUGUCCCACCAGUGCCAGUGUGUAACAUAAUCUAAAUUACUUCUUGGUUUUGUUUUAAAUCUGCAAAGCUUGAUCCACUUAAGAAUGCCGAGGACUGUGGAUCAGUGAUCUGGCAAUGUGUUGAUCCAGACAUCCAAACUAGAAUGAAAGUGAAGAUGGAGUAGGUGGAAAUCAUCUAUUGCAUCAGAUAAUUGAUGCAAAUUGGCUCUUCAAGAACCAUCUGAAACCAGUCUUAUUUGCAUCCCAAACAGGGGCUUACCUAGAACUGUAUUCAAGAUUUCAUAGUAUUGCCACUAAAUACAGAUAGUAUUUUAUUCUUCACCACUGGGUACAUGUAGCGCCAAAGUAACAAUCUGGUGUGCCUUUGUUUACCACUAUGAUUAGCAUUACCAAAGUUUGUAUUUUCUUUUAAAUUUAAAACUCCCUCUAAACUGUGCCAUAGCAAAAUGUCAGGGAAAGCAAACUGAUAGGCAGGAUCGUCUUCUCAAAUACAAAUAGCUGCCUUGAUAAAAGAAAGCAUUGCUGUCCUGGAGGGUGAUUUCUGUACUCUCUUGAGUGUUUUAAAGUCCUGCAUGAGCAUGUGAGACUUGAGAACAUUUUCAAAUUGAAACACUGGAAGGUAGAAACAGAAGAUAAAUUUUCUCUGCAAUUAUUUGAUAACGGUUGUGCACAUUCUAUUGAGUAUCGCAUCUCAAAAUCACCCUUUUCUUUAGGAAUUCAAACAGUUGUCACUCGCUUAAUAUUGGAUGGAACAGGAGCUAAUAUUUCUCUCUUUCCUUUCUUUGCUUACACUAACUUUUUGUGCAAAGAAAUAGCCACUCACCAAUGCCAUCUCUACCAACAGGUCUGACACCUAAGUGACCUUAGAGUGGAGACCUGAAAAUGCUAGAUUCAACUUUUUUCUACUGCACAUUUCCUAGUAAGUUACUGUCUAUAGAAAUGAUAAUGACUUGUAAGUAAUAUUCAACUGUCAUUUAAAGCGUAAAGUUUUGUUUCCGUAACAUGUUUACAUAUACAUACAUAUUUACUGUUACUGAAAUCUGUUGACAUUAUUGUUAAGACAGUGGGCUGCUAGAGAGACAGAUUCUUUUAUAACUGCUGUAAUUAUGUUAACAGACUAUAAAACAACCUUCAUAAAAGCUUCUCGCACUAAAGGUUUAGCUUUAUUUCUUUAUUCACUUCAGUUAUAUACUAAAAAGUAGAGACAAUAGUGAUAGUUGAUGUAUAUUCAUUGUGUAUGCUAUAAUUCCACAGACCUUGUUAUAAUCUUAUUUGUGUUUCACAAAUACCAGUGAAAGCCCUGUAAGCAAGGAGCCUUUCUUAAUAAAGGGCUUAUAAAAUACUUGUUCAUGUUAGCAAUCUCUGAUGUAAGGACCUAUGAAUUUCAAAAAUAGCUUUCCCUUAGGAGUUAGGUGUUCUCUUAAAAAUUAAGCCUUUGAAGACACUGGUGUUCCUGUUAACAAUAAUAGUGAGUGGUGUCUAUGUCAGAUCCUGAUCUGGUUUUAAAAAGGAAGUUCAGAUCAUAACGCCUUCUAAAAAAGUCUUGUACAGAAUAUAUGAAAGUUAUUGUACAAAUGUGAAUUUUUAUUACUCUGCAUUGAAAAAUCAAGAAAAAACAUUAGUGGGUCGAUUCACUUCAGUCAUUUUUACCUACAUGACUAGAAAAUAAUAAAACUCCCUGUAGUAAAAGGAGCCAAACAGCAUGGUUAUAGUAAUGAACAAAAUGACGAAGGCUGGAUGUGCUUCUAAGUUGGUGAGUCUUCCUGUAAUUAUUCCAAAAAAAAAAAAAAAA